CAGCCGCCGCGGUAAAACGUAGGGUGCAAGCGUUAUCCGGAAUUAUUGGGCGUAAAGAGCUCGUAGGCGGUUUGUCGCGUCUGCUGUGAAAACUGGAGGCUCAACCUCCAGCCUGCAGUGGGUACGGGCAGACUAGAGUGCGGUAGGGGAGAUUGGAAUUCCUGGUGUAGCGGUGGAAUGCGCAGAUAUCAGGAGGAACACCGAUGGCGAAGGCAGAUCUCUGGGCCGUAACUGACGCUGAGGAGCGAAAGCAUGGGGAGCGAACAGGAUUAGAGACCCCCGUAGUCCCUGUCUCUUAUAC
rnacentral:rRNA from 1 species